rnacentral:sRNA from 2 species
AUCAAUUCAAAAAUUACUAACUAUACUGUUAAUCAACGAGCAAUAUGUACGUGGUCGAUGCUAGCGGAUGUUGUCGAUUGGUUAUUGGACUUAUUUCCAAAGUCAAGAACGCAAUUACUGAUAACCGAAAACAAAAGUAAUCAAGAUUUAACAAUGUACAU